UGGUCCUGUCACCUAUGAUCUUGGUCCUGUCGAUGUCCGCCUCUGCUACACCACCUAUGAUUUUGGGUAUGGAAUAACUGAUUUAUCUUGUGAUGGUUAGGGAUUCAUGUUUUGGAUUUUUUUUUUUUUGCUUUGAUUCCCUUCAAGCUAAGGAAGAAGUUUGUACUUAUUCAGUGUUUCAGUAUGUUGUAUCUAGAACUACAAAUACAAAUACAUGAUAUGGUUGAUGAUCUGCAAUUCUUCUUCACUAUAUACUGUCUGUGUUAAUCUUUUAGAUUGACCAAUUUGGGAUUAUCAGAAAAAUGUUUCUAGAUUAUCAGAAAAUGUCAUGAAGUCUUGUAUGUUUCUAAAUUAUCAGAAAAUUUCCUUCAAAAAAAAUAGGGGCUAUUGCAUUCUUACCCCUAUUUUGAAGUUCAAUUGUGAUUUUGCCCUCGCUUUUUAGGGUUUGCGUUUUUACUCCUACUUUUUUGAAACGAAGUAGAGAUUUGUCCCUGGUUUGGAUGGUCAAUUUAACGGGGUUAAGUCGAGCACGAAAAGACUUUUAUGCCCUUGCUAGCUAUUGCAUAUUUGCCCCUACUUUUUAAACAACACUUGUCUUUUUACCCUUAUUUUGUACUGAGCUUUCGUGAAAUGAUUCAAAAUCCGUAUGAAAAUCUAAUGGCGCCACAUUGCAUGAACAUGAAUGAUGUCUAUGAAUGGUAAGUUCAUUAACAUCCUGUGUCUUACUGCAUAAGUGCAUAGUAUCAGCCACAUCAGGUAUCUUCAUGUUGGUCAAGUCCUUUCGAUCUGAUGAACCCGUCAAGAGCAGGAUUCAUCACCAAUGGUUUGCCGCUCCGAGGAGUCGCUGCCAUCGCCUGCUGCUCCUGCCAUAGCGCUGAGGAUCGCCGUCGCUGCCAGGUACUCCUGCCGCCUCCUGCUGCUCGCGACGCCGUGUUGAGGAGCCAUCACCGCCGCCUUCCGGCCUCGCCGAGGAGUUGGAGCCGCAGCUUGCUCCUGGCCACGCCGAGGAGCUGCGCCGCCACCUGCUCCCGGCCGCGCUGAAGAGCUGCUCCACCGCCUGCUUCUGGCGCCGCCGCGCCAAGGACUUCGGGAUGGGAAUGGAUCUGGGGGAAGGAGGAUAUCGAACAUGUACUGAUGCACACCCACAUAUAUUACUUAAGGGUACAAUGGUAAUCCCAUAUUUCCAAAAUUAUUUUUCUCUUCUAAUUUCUCUUUCCUUAACUGAAUAUUGUGGGACCCACCUAACUGCCAUCCAUAGUAGGGGCAAACGGCAACUUCGUUCAGAGAAAGCGGGGGUAAAAUUGCAAACGCUAAAAAACUGAGUAAAAUCACAAUUGAGAUUGAAAGCUGGGGUAUAAACACAAUUCUCCCAAAAAAAUAUUAUGAGAAAAUGAAAGUGUUGUAAACAUGACUGCUUGUUUUCCAUUGCCAAACAGACUCCAUUUUGGAUUUUAUUAACCAAUAUAGUCUGUAUUGUCCUGGUUAUUACAACAAAUCACUUGUUGCUCUCAAGUGCGAGAUUUAGCCAUCAAAGCUAGAUGGAGUAAAAAGAUUUUGUUGUUUCCACCAUCCUCUGCUUUUGGUAGAUGGAGUAAAAAGAUUUUGUUUUAAACCUUUCUGAUGGUUAAUAAAGCUGUUUUUUGGUGAUCCAUUAAGCUAGCAGCACUUACCGUGGACUGAAGAUGCUGAUUAAGUCUUCUCCCGCUCGCAGACAACACAGGUCUGGCUUCCUCUCAGCCAAUCUCUCCCAACCUCCAUCUCCAAGGUAGCAUCACUAUUUUCCCUUUCUUUUUAUUUUCUUGUGUGUUGGCUCCUAGCCUCCUACAGACAGCUGCGGAAUCAAGAGGCCCUAUGGCUGUGUAUCUUAAUGUUUACUCGAUUUCUGCUCAAAAUGUUUCCUCUUUUAUUUAUAAGAGACUGCAGCCAUCUUGUUUGAUUUCAUUUCCUUUUUGUCUAUUCAUUUUUCAGUGCCUGGUCUAAUAAUUCAGAAAGAUAGCUGGGUAAACCUGCAUAGAAUUUUCAAAUUCAUAUGAAUUCUAAUUUUCCUUCCGGGGGUACUAUGGCCGAUUCAAGAAGUGUCCCACAGAAAGGUGUGCGUCCUUCACUGUUCAAGGUUCAAAUGAAUCCUCACGAAAUGUAAAAACAGAAGUGCAGGGAAAGCUAGGCAAAUCAGUUGAGAGACCGAGAAGCUGAGCAUUAGAUGGAUUUAGGGCACUACAUGCCUUUGGCACUUCUUAAGCCAUAGCCACAGUAUUGAUCAAGGAGCAGCCAAGCGGACUGUGGCUUGAGUUAUCAACAACUGGCUCAGUAAGGGAGGGCCGGCGGCACGUGAGGCGGUCCACUGCUAGGCGCAACAAGCUCACGAGGAACAGGCGGCAAGGUAUGUGCAUGAUGCGGUCUGCACGGCGAGCCACACAGUUUGCUCGAAUGGGCUGGCGCUGUGAGCUGCAGGGAUGCGAGCUAUGGAAGAAUGGAUGACGCAUGAUUAUGAAUCCUGAAUAUCGGUGAUGGUCCAAUAUUCAAUGUAAUCAAAUGAUGUUCAGUUUCUCACGAAAUCCAUUGCUUUUUACAUUUUGUAUUUUUCUUCUGUCAAACCAGAUCAAGCUGUACAAGAAACAAAGUAAGGCAGAUUUUUUUUUUCAGAAACUUCUUUGCAGCAACUUACAAUGUCGAUAUAAAGUUGUCUUGCUGAAACUUUUGUUGAUAUAAAGUUGUCUUGCUGAAACUUUUGUUGUUCUAGUUGGUAAUGUAUGAAAAAAAUAUAAAAGAUGGACAUAGUUAUUGUUUUUGUUAUAUCAAGGUUUUCUGUUGCAAUCAAAUUAUACUUAAUGCUUAUAUAACAUCAUUUUACCCGGUGAUUUGAAAUUAAUGCAUAUUUUUUUCCCGUUGCAAAGCACGGGCACCCAACUAGUUAAUGAAAGAAAUAAGUUCACUUUGACUCCCUUAAAUAGUAACCGAAUCUGAUUCGUAUCCAAUACUAGCUCGCAUCAUUGCUGCUUCAUCUUUUUUCCCCACAGUAAAAUCAGCGAAGUG